GGGCUGUAGUUUUCGUCAUUCGAUGUUAAAUUAAAAAUUAAAAGGAUCUUGUUAACUUUUUGAACAUAGGGAAUAUAGUCCCAGUAACUGUUUUAACGUCUUCUGCUGAUUCUCUUGUGGUGUAAACUGGAGGCUGGUUUUGACUCCUGGUCUCCUCACUGAGGGCUGUGCUUUCCUACCCACUUGUCUGAAAGCUUGGUUACCCUUGACCGGAUGCCAGGCAUUGUGAUGUUGCCAUUUGAGAUGUUGGGUAGUUUGGCCUCCAAUAAAUGUUUUGUAGCUUUGUUCUGGGAUGAAGUUAAAUUAUUUGUGAAGAGUUUGGUGUUUGUCUUGUUUAGAUGAUUUAUUCGGCAGACAUGGACGUAUGCUCUGUCUACUGCCCUCUUUCUCUUCCCCCUUCCUUCUUCUUUUGGACUGAAUUCAGGGCCUCUCACUUGCUAGACCAGAGCUCUGCAUGAAGCCAAAUCCCAAACAUUCAGUGGAGGGCUUUAUCUAGGUCUAGUAGUGGUGAUCCCACCUCUGAGGCACAACUGUGUCAUUUGGAUCUGAGGAUUUUCCCCAAGGCCCACAUGUUCAAUGCCCUCUCCCUGGCUGGUGGCACCAGUCUGGGGGAAGGUGAUGGAAGCCUUAGCAAAUGGGGCCCGGUUGAUGGAAGGAAGUCGUCGUGGGCAUGCUCAGGAGGGCACCCUGGGAACCUGCUCUCCCUCUCCUUUUCUCUGCUUCCUGGUUGCCAUGAUGUAAAGAUCUUUUCUCUGCUAUAUGCUCCUUUGCCAUGAUGUUCUGAUUCACCGUGGACCUAGAAAUAAUACUCCAGUGGUCAUAGAAUGAAGUUCCUGAAACCAUGAGCCACAGUUUUAAAUGCUUCUCCCCUUAAGCUAUUUUUUUUCCCUCAGCCAUUUUUUCACAAUGACAGAAAGCUGCCGAACACAGUAACCUUCCUGAUAAUUCUAUCCAAUGUCUGAGAACGCCGAGGUUUUCUAGUCUAGCUCGUGAGAAACAUUAUCUCUUUGUCUGUUUGUGCACCAGGUACUUACUAUUCCUCUAAUCUUUUGGAAGCCUCUUUCCUGGCCCUGGAUGCUUUCUUCCCCUGUGAGCACUGACAAGGUCUCACAUAUUCUGUCUUUGAACUUGAAGCAGCCAGGGAGGACCUUGAACUUUUCUGAUCCUCUGCCUUCAGAAGGUUGGAAUUAUGGGACUGCAGGCCUGUGCCUCCAGGUCUGGUCACACAGUGCCAUGGAGGAACCUCGACUUGGCGCAUGCUCAGCAAACACUCCUGUGUAGGUCGUUGUUCCCAUCUCUUUAGGAGUCUCUCCUGUUGUUCUUGUGAUUUGAAAGGAUACUACAAGUCCCUUUCUCACGUUGAUUUCGAGAGAAAAGGAAACUUUGUUGCCUGUUGUCAGCUCCCCUUUCUCAAACAAGGCUUGUGUCUCUAGACCUGAAACCCCACUGUCAAAGCUGGUGUUAGGAAGCAGGCGUCAGCAAACUGCGCCCCACAAACCACUGGCUUCUGUAAAUAAAGUUUUACUGGCCC